rnacentral:rRNA from 1 species
GACGAACGCUGGCGGCGUGCUUAACACAUGCAAGUCGAACGGUAAGGCUCCAGCUUGCUGGGGUACACGAGUGGCGAACGGGUGAGUAACACGUGGGUGACCUGCCCUGCACUUCGGGAUAAGCCUGGGAAACUGGGUCUAAUACCGGAUAGGACCGCACCGUGAGGGUGUGGUGGAGAGUUUUUUCGGUGUGGGAUGGGCCCGCGGCCUAUCAGCUUGUUGGUGGGGUAAUGGCCUACCAAGGCGGCGACGGGUAGCCGGCCUGGGAGGGUGGACGGCCACAUUGGGACUGAGACACGGCCCAGACUCCUACGGGAGGCAGCAGUGGGGAAUAUUGCACAAUGGGCGGAAGCCUGAUGCAGCGACGCCGCGUGGGGGAUGACGGCCUUCGGGUUGUAAACUCCUUUCACCAUCGACGAAGGGCUUCUGACGGUAGAUGGAGAAGAAGCACCGGCUAACUACGUGCCAGCAGCCGCAGUAAAAC